rnacentral:rRNA from 1 species
CCCUUAGAUGUUCUGGGCCGCACACGCGCUACACUGAAGGAGGCAGCGUGUACUCCUGGAUCGAAAGAGUUGGGUAACCCGCGAAUCUCCUUCGUGCUAGGGAUUGAGGUUUGCAAUUAUCCUUCAUGAACGAGGAAUUCCCAGUAAGUGCAAGUCAUAAGCUUGCGCUGACUACGUCCCUGCCCUUUGUACACACCGCCCGUCGCUACUACCGAUUGAAUGAUUUAGUGAGGACUUCGGACUGGGACCGAUGCGGCUUUCGGGCUGCGUCGGUAUUCUGGAAAGAUGUCCAAACUGUAUCAUUUAGAGGAAGUAAAANUCGUAACA